UAAAGCGUGCGCAGGCGGUUAUGUAAGACAGAUGUGAAAUCCCCGGGCUCAACCUGGGAACUGCAUUUGUGACUGCAUGGCUAGAGUACGGUAGAGGGGGAUGGAAUUCCGCGUGUAGCAGUGAAAUGCGUAGAUAUGCGGAGGAACACCGAUGGCGAAGGCAAUCCCCUGGACCUGUACUGACGCUCAUGCACGAAAGCGUGGGGAGCAAACAGGAUUAGAUACCGAGU
rnacentral:rRNA from 1 species